UCUUCAUUUUGCACACUCUCUCACAGGUCAGAGUGUUGAGAGAGUGUGUGAAAUGAAAAGA
rfam:Pristionchus pacificus strain PS312 contig13603, whole genome shotgun sequence.